rnacentral:lncRNA from 1 species
GUUUCUCUUUGUGUUGCAUUUUAACGUUGAGUCGUUUGUGUUUUCUCUUAUUUUUGAGAUAUUGAGAUAAGACGUGGCACGGUACUUGUCUAUCCCAAAUUCAUGUAUUUGGUUUUCAUGUUACAUUUGUUAUUCUCGUGGUGUUUUGUCUGAUGAUUGGUCUGUUUCUGUGUGUGUUGCGUUUCAAUGUUGUGUUGUUGUUCUCCUCUUAUAUUUAAUGCGUUUCGCUCGGUUUUGGUUUGUUACCCCGAUUUUGUUUUUU